CCUACGGGAGGCAGCAGUGGGGAAUUUUGCGCAAUGCUCGUAAGAGUGACGCAGCGACGCCGCGUGAAUGACGAAGGCCUUCGGGUCGUAAAGUUCUUUCGACAGGGAAGAAAAUGCCUAUAAGUAACUGUGUAUGUAUUGACGGUACCUGUAUAAGCAGCCCCGGCUAACUCCGUGCCAGCAGCCGCGGUAAUACGGAGGGGGCGAGCGUUGUUCGGAGGGACUGGGCGUAAAGAGCACGUAGGCGGUGUUGUAAGUCAUUAGUCAAAGACUAGAGCUCAACUUUAGUAAGGCUGGUGAUACUAUAAUACUAGAGUAUCAGAGAGGAUUGCAGAAUUCCUGGUGUAGCGGUGAAAUGCGUAGAUAUCAGGAGGAAUACCGUUAGCGAAGGCGGCAAUCUGGCUGGAAACUGACGCUGAGGUGCGAAAGCGUGGGUAGCAAACAGGAUUAGAUACCCUUGUAGUC
rnacentral:rRNA from 1 species